rnacentral:rRNA from 1 species
UUGAACGCUGGCGGGAUGCUUUACACAUGCAAGUCGAACGGCAGCACGGACUUCGGUCUGGUGGCGAGGCGAACGGGUGAGUAAUGUAUCGAACGUGCCCAGUAGCGGGGAUAACUUACGCGAAAGCGUGAAGCACACUGCAUACGCCCUUCGGGGGAAAGCGGGGACCUUCGGGCCUCGCACUAUUAGAGCGGCCGAUAUCGGAUUAGCCAUAGUUGCGGGUAACGGGCUCACCAAGGCGACGAUCCGUAGCUGGUUUGAGAGGACGACCAGCCACACUGGGACCGAGACACGGCCCAGACUCCUACGGGGAGGCAAACAGGGGAAUUCCCUGACAAUGGGAAACCCCGAUCCACUAUCCUGCGCGGUGCGAUGAAGGCCUUCGGGUUGUAAAAGCACUUUCGGCAGUGAAAAGAAACGGCACGGGAUAAUACCCGUGCAACUGACGGUACUUGUUAGACAAGCACCCGGCUAACUACGUGCCAGCAGCCGCGGUAAUACGUAGGCAAGCGUUAAUCGGAAUUACUGGGCGUAAAGCGUGCGCAGGCGGUUCGGAAAGAAAGAUGUGAAUCCUGAGCCAACUUUGGAACUGCAUUUUUAACUACCGAGCUAGAGUGUGUCAGAGGAGAAUUCCGCGUAGCAGUGAAAUGCGUAGAUAUGCGGAGGAACACCGAUGGCGAAGGCAGCCUCCUGGGAUAACACUGACGCUCGCGCACGAAAGCGUGGGAGUAAACAGGAUUAGAUACCUGGUAGUCCACGCCUUAAACGAUGUCAACUAGCUGUUGGGGCCUUCGGCCUGGUGUAGCGCAGCUAACGCGUGAAGUUGACCGCCUGGGGAGUACGGCUGCAAGAUUAAAACUCAAAGCGAAUUGACGGGGACCCGGCACAAGCGGUGGAUGAUGUGGAUUAAUUCGAUGCAACGCGAAAACCUUACCUACCCUUGACAUGUCUGGAAUCCCGAAGAGAUUUGUGAGUGCCUGCAAGAGAACCGAACACAGGUGCUGUAUGGUUGUCGCUUCAGCUCGUGUCGUGAGAUGUUGGGUUAAGUCCGCAACGAGCGCAACCCUGUCGCCAGAAGGCAUGAAAAGGCACUCUAAUGAGACUGCCGGCGACAAACCGGGAGGAAGGGGGAUGACGUCAAGUCCUCAUGGCCCUUAUGGGUAGGGCUUCACACGUCAUACAAUGGUCGGGACAGAGGGCUCAACCCGCGAGGGGGAGCCAAUCCUGAAACCGAUCGUAACUGGAUCGCAGUCUGUAACCUGACUGGUGUGAAGUCGGAAUCGCUAGUAAUCGCGGAUCAGCAUGUCGCAGUGAAUACGUUCCCGGGUCUUGUACACCGGCUCGUCACACUACGGGAGUGAGCCUACCAGAAGUAGUUAGUCAACCGCAAGGAGGGCGAUACUACGGUAGGAUCUAUGACUGGGGAAGUCGCAAUACAGUAGU